rnacentral:rRNA from 1 species
AUGCAAGUCGAGGGGUAUAGUUCUUCGGAGCUAGAGACCGGCGCACGGGUGCGUAACGCGUAUGCAAUCUACCUUUUACAGAGGGAUAGCCCAGAGAAAUUUGGAUUAAUACCUCAUAGUAUGUGAGAAUCGCAUGGUUUUCACAUUAAAGUCACAACGGUAAAAGAUGAGCACGCGUCCCAUUAGCUUGUUGGUAAGGUAACGGCUUACCAAGGCAACGAUGGGUAGGGGUCCUGAGAGGGAGAUCCCCCACACUGGUACUGAGACACGGACCAGACUCCUACGGGAGGCAGCAGUGAGGAAUAUUGGACAAUGGGCGCAAGCCUGAUCCAGCCAUGCCGCGUGCAGGAUGACGGUCCUAUGGAUUGUAAACUGCUUUUGUACAGGAAGAAACACUCCCUCGUGAGGGAGCUUGACGGUACUGUAAGAAUAAGGAUCGGCUAACUCCGUGCCAGCAGCCGCGGUAAUACGGAGGAUCCAAGCGUUAUCCGGAAUCAUUGGGUUUAAAGGGUCCGUAGGCGGUUUAAUAAGUCAGUGGUGAAAGCCCAUCGCUCAACGGUGGAACGGCCAUUGAUACUGUUAAACUUGAAUUAUUAGGAAGUAACUAGAAUAUGUAGUGUAGCGGUGAAAUGCUUAGAGAUUACAUGGAAUACCAAUUGCGAAGGCAGGUUACUACUAAUGGAUUGACGCUGAUGGACGAAAGCGUGGGUAGCGAACAGGAUUAGAUACCCUGGUAGUCCACGCCGUAAACGAUGGAUACUAGCUGUUGGGAGCAAUCUCAGUGGCUAAGCGAAAGUGAUAAGUAUCCCACCUGGGGAGUACGUUCGCAAGAAUGAAACUCAAAGGAAUUGACGGGGGCCCGCACAAGCGGUGGAGCAUGUGGUUUAAUUCGAUGAUACGCGAGGAACCUUACAAGGCUUAAAUGUAGUUUG